UUUAGCCCUAAAUUUGCCUUUCGAUUACCAUUCCAGUUGAUUUUAUUUUAUUGUCAACAUUGUUAAUGAUAAAAAUAGAGUCGCUUCGCAGUUAUUUUUACUUUCCGAAAGGAGGCAAUUAGACUUCUAAUCAGGAAUACACAAAAAGGAGGGGAAAAAAUCUCCCAUGAUUAACUGCACUACUUUGUUCAAAUUGCAGCUAUAAAAUUCAGAACAAUUUGCCUGUAAUGAUUAUGGACUGGGUUUAUUUUGGGAGGUGGAAUAAAAGUGGAUAUAGCAUAAAUUAUCCUCUAAUUAUACACCAGUGUCGCCUCAAUUAUCCUCUUAUCAAAAUGGUUGUCUAACUGCCGCAUUUAGUUUCAAUUCUCUCCCAUUUUUUUCUAUAAAAAGAACUUCAUACCUUGUUAUUAUUAAUCCAUUUAUUAUUUGCAAGGGGAUUUAUAGCUGAGCAUCCAGGUGGUAUCGCCACAUCUCUUGCAAAGAUGGACUGGGGAAAGACAUAAUGUUGGAACCAACACGGAUGCGGAUCUAUUGCUUUCUCUCACCCGCUCUCGCUCUCUCUCACUUUCUCGCUCUCUCUUUUCUUUGAAAGACAGUUUGUGAUUUAAAGCUGGCGUCCACUGAAGAAAGGGAAAAAUGGGAUCUUUGGAGAUUUACGGAAGAGGAGACAGUUGCUGUUGAAGUUGACUUGAAGCUUUUGUUGUUGGGCAGUACAUCCAGUCCAUCAUUUUCAGGCAUCUUCUUACCUGCUCCUCACCGGUGUCUCAAUACAAGAAAAUAAGAUGUAUUUAAGGCCCCUGAAUUACA